GAUGAACGCUGGCGGCGUGCCUAAUACAUGCAAGUCGAGCGAACGGACGAGAAGCUUGCUUCUCUGCUGUUAGCGGCGGACGGGUGAGUAACACGUGGAUAACCUACCUAUAGGACUGGGAUAACUUCGGGAAACCGGAGCUAAUACCGGAUAAUAUUUUCUACCGCAUGGUUCAAAAGUGAAAGACGGUCUUGCUGUUACUUAUAGAUGGAUCCGCGCUGCAUUAGCUAGUUGGUAAGGUAACGGCAUACCAAGGCAACGAUGCAUAGCCGACCUGAGAGGAUGAUCAGUCACACUGGAAAUGAGACACGGUCCAGACUCCUACGGGAGGCAGCAGUAGGGAAUCUUCCACAAUGGGCGAAAGCCUGACGGAGAAACGCCGCGUGAGUGAAGAAGGUCUUCGGAUCGUAAAACUCUGUUAUUAGGGAAGAACAUAUGUGUAAGUAACUGUGCACAUCUUGACGGUACCUAAUCAGAAAGCCACGGCUAACUACGUG
rnacentral:rRNA from 1 species